rnacentral:rRNA from 1 species
AACCCGUUAAGCAAGCCGCCUGGGGAUUACGGCCGCAAGGCUAAAACUCAAAGGAAUUGGCGGGGAGGCACACAACCAGUGGAACAUGUGGUUCAAUUCGAAACAAACCGACGCACCUCACCGGGGUUUGACAUGCAAUUGCUAAUCCUAUGAAAGUAGGACUCCUUCGAGGGUAUUGCACAGGUGCUGCAUGGCUGUCGUCAGUUCGUUCCGUGAGGAGUGCCCUUAAGUGGGACAACGAACGCAACCCCCAUCGUAUGUUACAAGUGUCAUACGAAACUGCCCCCGAGUUCUCGGGGGAGGAAGGAGGGGCAGACGUCAAGUCAGCAUGGUCCUUACGCCCCGGGCUACACACAUGUUACAAUGGACAAUAACAAUGGGCAGCAAACCGGCGACGGUAAGCUAAUCUCAGAAAUUUGUCCUCAGUGGGGAUUGUAGUCUGCAAUUCGACUACAUGAACGCGGAAUUGGUAGUAAUCGCGGAUCAGCUAUGCCGCGGUGAAUACGUUCUUGCCUCUUGCACACACCGCCCGUCAAGCCAACAAAGUCGGCAUUAUCUGAACCUC